UAAAGUGGGAUGCCAAGGACUAAAAUGACCUGAAUAACAUGGCCCAAAAUUUCCCUCUAAUUUGUUGUUCUUUCGGAAAUAUGUUCACUUUUAAUAACUUGUCUGUGUUCUGUCUUGUCAUUAGUAUGUUAGGGUCCUUGCCUGAGGCAUACACGUUUAAAAUUUUCUCUUACUUUGCCUUUCUAAUCUAUAUUCAAAAUAAGUGAGUUUUCCAAAUAGUUGAUUUCAAGAUGGGUAAGGUAUUUCAGUCCUUUACAAAAGGAUCUGGUUAG
rnacentral:lncRNA from 1 species